UGGGGAAUAUUGCACAAUGGGCGCAAGCCUGAUGCAGCCAUGCCGCGUGUGUGAAGAAGGCCUUCGGGUUGUAAAGCACUUUCAGUGAGGAGGAAGGGUGGUGUGUUAAUAGCACAUCACAUUGACGUUACUCGCAGAAGAAGCACCGGCUAACUCCGUGCCAGCAGCCGCGGUAAUACGGAGGGUGCAAGCGUUAAUCGGAAUUACUGGGCGUAAAGCGCACGCAGGCGGUUUGUUAAGUCAGAUGUGAAAUCCCCGCGCUUAACGUGGGAACUGCAUUUGAAACUGGCAAGCUAGAGUCUUGUAGAGGGGGGUAGAAUUCCAGGUGUAGCGGUGAAAUGCGUAGAGAUCUGGAGGAAUACCGGUGGCGAAGGCGGCCCCCUGGACAAAGACUGACGCUCAGGUGCGAAAGCGUGGGGAGCAAACA
rnacentral:rRNA from 1 species